ensembl:lncRNA
CGCAUUAUGACAUAUGACCUCGGGGUCAACGUAGAGAGCAGGAGGUCACAGGAUCGGCAGCUUGAUUCAGAGGGCAGCACACAACGCUCCCUCUGUCACUCUACCACUGCCUCUCAAUAAGACCUCCCCAGGGGCUAUGAAACUUAUGGACCUGAACAUCAGAAGAAAACAUCCAUCCACGGGGAGCACAGAGGACAGGACACAUACACACACACACAGAUAUACACAGACACACACACAACACACACACACACACACACACACACACACACAACACACAACACACACACACACACCACACCACACACACACACACACACACACACACACACACACCACACACACACACACACCACACACACCACACACACACACACACACACAGACAGACGCACCACACACACACACACACCAGCACUAUGUUGCACGUAUACCAAAACCUUUCGCAACUUUUUUGAUACUAGAAUUUGUGUUACUUUCGGUACUUCUGUCAAAUGUGUCUCACGUCAUAUAUGAACUGAGAGGAUCAAGUCUGUCUAGUUAUUUGUCUGAAUCUUCUCAAGGUGGCAGUAGUAAGCUAGCCAGGCUACUUGCUCUUGCGCAUGCAGUAAACACAGUGCGAGCCACUUUUMYGAAGCAWGCGAGAGGAGAGAAAAUGCUGACAGCAUGGCUUCUUCUAACGAAAACAUCAUACCGUCACGCCCGGAACUUGUUGGCAAAACCCYUUUCAGAAGCYAACUAUGGGAAUACUUUGCUUACAGAGCAGAUGAUGAAGGCCAGCCCGCCGAAACAACUAUGGGAAUACUUUGCUUACAGAGCAGAUGAUGAAGGCCAGCCCGCCGAAACACUAUGGGGAAUACUUUGCUUACAGAGCAGAUGAUGAAGGCCAGCCCGCCGAAACAACUAUGGGAAUACUUUGCUUACAGAGCAGAUGCUGAAGGCCAUACCUCCGAAACAGCUAUGGGAAUACUUUGCUUACAGAGCAGAUGAUGAAGGCCAGCCCGCCGAAACAACUAUGCAAACGGUGUUGCAAAGCAGUGCAGGGGAGUUUUAGUUCCAAAACGACAUAAUAAACUUUUACACUAAAUUCAAAAUGUUUUGGGUGACAAUGCUUUUGAUGCGAUUUGAUUGGUGUGAUGCCAAAUCCAAACUGGCCUCCCUUGGGGGAGGGAUCAAUCAAUCAAAUGCUAUGGCAGCAACGUGUCAUACUCUUUUUGUCCAGACAGCACCAGAUACAGGUCCACAUACUGAGACAGAGGGGCGCUGUUUCCCUCGCUAGUAUGAUUUCUCCGGUGAGAUACUGUAGAUACAGCCAAUUGCAAAUUGAAGGAAAAUUAUGAAAACACAGUGAGACGGAAUUGAAAUAGCUUUAUAAUAUAUAUAUAUAUAUUUUUUGCCUAUUUUUUGUGUGAAGCCUGGCUUCCCUUGGCAUCCAUGAAGAAACUGCCACAAUGUCAUAAUUAAGCCUAUUUCUAAAAUGUAUCUUCUCAAAAUCUGAUUUUAAACCUUAACCCUAACUUUAAACACAUUUCUAACCUUAUGCUUAACUCUAACCUUAAAUUAAGACAACAAAAAAAACAUUUUUGUUUUCAUUAAUUAUUAAGAUAUAGCCAUUUAAACUUUGUGACUGUAGUAACUAGUGACAACCCAGCUCUGGGCGGACCACUGCACCCUGAGAAUCCUAGUAUGCCGUGUAAAAUCCAUGGUAUUUCUAUGGUGUGUACACUAUUGCAAUAUAGAAGCUUCAGAAAUUAGUUUCAAAGUGUUUUUUAUGUUGUUUUGUAACUAUUCAUUUAAUACAUUUAAUUAUUUAGCUGUAGUGAAUAAUUCAUGUAAUUUGACCUAAUAUUAAAGCCAUUGAUGAGCAAAUUAACCCUGAUAUGUAUGACAUGACAUUUAAAACAGUUUAGAUGUCAUUGUACAAUUAUUUUGUGUGCUCUGAGUCUCAGAUAUGGUUUUGUAUAAGGAAAAUUGAAGAUGUUCUUCUGUUAUUUAAUAUGGUGUUUCAUUUUUGAAAGAAAUUGAAUAUAGAAUAGAUUACAUUCAAUUUGAUAUUUUAGUUGUCAUACCAGCAAUCAACAUAUUGUUUAAUGUCUUAAAAAAUAAAGCCCAGUGCUUCUAUUACUUUAGCUUGAUUUUUUUGCUGUGGUAUCGUUUCAGUGUAGAGUAUCGUACUACUAAACCUGCUAUCGGUAUCGAAGUCCAAAUUUGGGUAUCGUGACAAGACUAACUCUCUCACACACAUUGGGUAUCAUGACAAGACUAACUCUCUCACACACACACACUGCACUGUAUUUUCAUCUGCCUACAUCACCUAACGCUGACAGCUCGCUGCACACUCAGGCAAUCAGUUACACAAUUAGUCAAGAUUAAAGGUGAAUUGAACCAGAGGGGUCAAAGGUUAAUGACUCCCAAGCUGAACUGUGUACGUUCCAUAAACAAAACAACAGAGUGAAUCAGGAGUCUAGACUGUCUUUAUUGGCUUAGUGGUGGGGAGCGACGGUGCAUCAUGGCAGACACAUUUGAUCUAAUGGGAGAGAGAGCAGUCUGUUCGGCUCUGAUCUGAUGAGCUCUAUCUCUCUGAUGGAAUAAUGAGAUAUAUCAACUGUCUGGGCUCUGGCCAAUAGUAGUGAAGUAAAAGAUAGUACAAUCUGGGUAAUAGGACAAAGAUUUGGGUGUGUAAGUGUCUGUUUUCAUAUGUGUGUGUGUAUUUGUGUGUGUGCCUGCACGAGAGUGCAUAUAUGUGUGCGUGUGAGCUAGUAUGUGUGUGUGUGUGUGUGUGUGUGUCUAUUUUCCCUCACCUCCCUGUCCUUUCCUUGAUUUCCAGGCAGCAGCAGCACACAAACAGGAAGGCUGAAGGCCCUGCAUGUCUUCCUGGUGAAAGAGAGAGAGGCACAAAGGGAACCCUGCUAUCUAACACCAGUCCAUAUUAACAGUUGAUGAUAGCAACAACAGGCUGAGGGAGGGGGGCAGGGCUGUAGGCCCUGCAAAGGUGAGCAGGUGGGGAGACAGACAAUGGUCCUGAUGCCUGUUCAUGGCGCGAUACGUACCAAUGUACCGUCUCUGAUAUGACUUGUCGUGGGAUCAUUACUUCCUAACAGGAUCAAAAGCUCUUUUCAACCCAAAAGAAAUCGGAGCCAGAUGGUCCAGAGAAAAACCACUCAGCGUUAACGCUAAUGUCAACUUGCCUCCCCCGCUGUCCUCAGAUCCACUGGCUGGUAGUUGAUGAGACCCUAGUCCCAGUGCGUGUGUUGGCUGAUAGACGGGUGUUUCUCAUGCCGCGGUAUCGGAAUGCGUACGUCUGAGUUUGAAUAACGGACCUGGGAGUGCGGCGUUGUCGGGUAAAAAGCGCAGACUGUUUGCUGUUGAUGUGUAAUUAUCAGGCCCAAAACACACGUGUCCUCUCUGCAUAUCCCAAUACUCAGGAACAGAUGGUGAGGAGGUGUUAAAUAAACACUAAUGGAGGCUCAUUAUCAGUGUGCGUAACAGGCAGCUGCCGCACCCCCUAUUUCUGACACAGGGAUUCCUCAAAAUAACAGGCCACAGGAAUAGUUUACAUCUGAGACAGAGAGGAGAAUGAAUAGUCAAGCACAUAGAGAAAAAGUGCAAAAACAAAUGUGGUUUCCAGGACAGAGCUCUAUGCUGCUCAGCCUCUUUGUAAUCACUGGGCUGGGCUACACACACAAAGCCCUAAUUCCAAAGCGCUGUCAAGCACAGCUGGAAUGACAGUUGUCCACUCUCUGAUUGAGUUGGAGGGAAUCAAUGCAGUCCACACAGCCACACACACGUGCACAGAGAGAGAGACAGAGAGAGAGACAGAGAGAGAGACAGAGACAGAGACAGAGAGACAGAGAGACAGAGAGACAGAGAGACAGAGAGACAGAGAGACGAGAGAGAGAGAGAGAGGACGAGAACAGAGAAGAAGAGAGAGAGAGAAGAGACAGAGAGAAGAGAGAGAGAGACGAGAGAGAGAGGAGAGAGAGAGAGAGAGAAGAGAGAGAGAGAGAGAGAGAGACAUUGAAUGCAAUAUACACCAACUGAGAAGGCAUAUG